rnacentral:rRNA from 1 species
GACGAACGUUGGCGGCGUGCUUAACACAUGCAAGUCGAACGGAAAGGCCCUGCUUUUGUGGGGUGCUCGAGUGGCGAACGGGUGAGUAACACGUGAGUAACCUGCCCUUGACUUUGGGAUAACUUCAGGAAACUGGGGCUAAUACCGGAUAGGAGCUCCUGCUGCAUGGUGGGGGUUGGAAAGUUUCGGCGGUUGGGGAUGGACUCGCGGCUUAUCAGCUUGUUGGUGGGGUAGUGGCUUACCAAGGCUUUGACGGGUAGCCGGCCUGAGAGGGUGACCGGCCACAUUGGGACUGAGAUACGGCCCAGACUCCUACGGGAGGCAGCAGUGGGGAAUAUUGCACAAUGGGCGGAAGCCUGAUGCAGCAACGCCGCGUGCGGGAUGACGGCCUUCGGGUUGUAAACCGCUUUCGCCUGUGACGAAGCGUGAGUGACGGUAAUGGGUAAAGAAGCACCGGCUAACUACGUGCCAGCAGCCGCGGUGAUACGUAGGGUGCGAGCGUUGUCCGGAUUUAUUGGGCGUAAAGGGCUCGUAGGUGGUUGAUCGCGUCGGAAGUGUAAUCUUGGGGCUUAACCCUGAGCGUGCUUUCGAUACGGGUUGACUUGAGGAAGGUAGGGGAGAAUGGAAUUCCUGGUGGAGCGGUGGAAUGCGCAGAUAUCAGGAGGAACACCAGUGGCGAAGGCGGUCCUCUGGGCCUUUCCUGACGCUGAGGAGCGAAAGCGUGGGGAGCGAACAGGCUUAGAUACCCUGGUAGUCCACGCUGUAAACGGUGGGUACUAGGUGUGGGGUCCAUUCCACGGGUUCCGUGCCGUAGCUAACGCUUUAAGUACCCCGCCUGGGGAGUACGGCCGCAAGGCUAAAACUCAAAGGAAUUGACGGGGCCCCGCACAAGCGGCGGAGCAUGCGGAUUAAUUCGAUGCAACGCGUAGAACCUUACCUGGGUUUGACAUGGAUCGGGAGUGCUCAGAGAUGGGUGUGCCUCUUUUGGGGUCGGUUCACAGGUGGUGCAUGGCUGUCGUCAGCUCGUGUCGUGAGAUGUUGGGUUAAGUCCCGCAACGAGCGCAACCCUUGUUCACUGUUGCCAGCACGUUAUGGUGGGGACUCAGUGGAGACCGCCGGGGUCAACUCGGAGGAAGGUGGGGAUGACGUCAAGUCAUCAUGCCCCUUAUGUCCAGGGCUUCACGCAUGCUACAAUGGCUGGUACAGAGAGUGGCGAGCCUGUGAGGGUGAGCGAAUCUCGGAAAGCCGGUCUCAGUUCGGAUUGGGGUCUGCAACUCGACCUCAUGAAGUCGGAGUCGCUAGUAAUCGCAGAUCAGCAACGCUGCGGUGAAUACGUUCCCGGG